rnacentral:RNase_P_RNA from 1 species
GAGGAACGUCCGGGCAACAGAGAGCACCAUACUUCUUAACGGGAAGCUGUCCGCGAGGGUAGAGUUGCGUAACAGAAAACGACCGCCGGAUCUGUCCGGUAAGGGUGAAAAGGUGAGGUAAGAGCUCACCGGAUCUUAUAGUAAUAUAGGAUGCCGUACGUCUUAUGGGUUGUAAGGUCAUGUAUACCGGCGCAUGUAGGAUUGCUCGUCCGAUGCCGGGGGGUAGACCGCUAAAGCUUA